UACAGAGGUCUCAAGCGUUAAUCGGAAUUACUGGGCUUAAAGGGUCCGCAGGCGGACCAGCAAGUACCUUGUGAAAUCUCAGGUCUCAACCCUGAGUCUGCUAGGUAGACUGCUGGUCUUGAGUGCAAAAGGGGUCGCUGGAACUCUAGGUGGAGCGGUGAAAUGCGUAGAUAUCUAGAGGAACGCCAAAGGUGAAGGCGGCGUUCUGGACUGUUACUGACACUGAGGAACGAAAGCCAGGGGAGCAAACGGG
rnacentral:rRNA from 1 species